GACGAACGCUGGCGGCGUGCUUAACACAUGCAAGUCGAACGGAAAGGCCCUGCUUUUGUGGGGUGCUCGAGUGGCGAACGGGUGAGUAACACGUGAGUAACCUGCCCUUGACUUUGGGAUAACUUCAGGAAACUGGGGCUAAUACCGGAUAGGAGCUCCUGCUGCAUGGUGGGGGUUGGAAAGUUUCGGCGGUUGGGGAUGGACUCGCGGCUUAUCAGCUUGUUGGUGGGGUAGUGGCUUACCAAGGCUUUGACGGGUAGCCGGCCUGAGAGGGUGACCGGCCACAUUGGGACUGAGAUACGGCCCAGACUCCUACGGGAGGCAGCAGUGGGGAAUAUUGCACAAUGGGCGGAAGCCUGAUGCAGCAACGCCGCGUACGGGAUGACGGCCUUCGGGUUGUAAACCGCUUUCGCCUGUGACGAAGCGCGAGUGACGGUAAUGGGUAAAGAAGCACCGGCUAACUACGUG
rnacentral:rRNA from 1 species